rnacentral:rRNA from 1 species
CCCUUAGAUGUCCGGGGCUGCACGCGCGCUACACUGUAGAAAGCAGCGUGCUUUAAAACCUUUCCUGAAAAGGAUGGGUAACCCCAGCAAAAUUCUACGUGCUUGGGAUAGAGAUUUGCAAUUUUCUCUCUUGAACGAGGAAUUCCCAGUAAGUGCGAGUCAUCAGCUCGCAUUGAUUACGUCCCUGCCCUUUGUACACACCGCCCGUCGCACCUACCGAUUGGAUGGUCCGGUCAAGCCUCGGGAUUGUGGUUCUUGCCGCUUUAUUGUAGCGUGACCGCGAGAACUUGUCUAAACCUUAUCAUUUAGAGGAAGGAGAAGUCGUAACA